rnacentral:rRNA from 1 species
CUCAGGACGAACGCUGGCGGCGUGCUUAACACAUGCAAGUCGAACGGUGAAGAGGAGCUUGCUCCUCCGAUCAGUGGCGAACGGGUGAGUAACACGUGAGCAAUCUGCCCCUGACUCCGGGAUAAGCGUUGGAAACGACGUCUAAUACCGGAUACGACCUCCGCCGGCAUCUGCUGGAGGUGGAAAGAACUUCGGUCAGGGAUGAGCUCGCGGCCUAUCAGCUUGUUGGCGGGGUAACGGCCCACCAAGGCGACGACGGGUAGCCGGCCUGAGAGGGUGACCGGCCACACUGGGACUGAGACACGGCCCAGACUCCUACGGGAGGCAGCAGUGGGGAAUAUUGCACAAUGGGCGCAAGCCUGAUGCAGCAACGCCGCGUGAGGGACGACGGCCUUCGGGUUGUAAACCUCUUUUGGCAGGGAAGAAGCGAAAGUGACGGUACCUGCAGAAAAAGCACCGGCUAACUACGUGCCAGCAGCCGCGGUAAUACGUAGGGUGCAAGCGUUGUCCGGAAUUAUUGGGCGUAAAGAGCUCGUAGGCGGUUUGUCGCGUCUGCUGUGAAAACCCGAGGCUCAACCUCGGGCCUGCAGUGGGUACGGGCAGACUAGAGUGCGGUAGGGGAGACUGGAAUUCCUGGUGUAGCGGUGGAAUGCGCAGAUAUCAGGAGGAACACCGAUG